AACCCUCUGUACAGUAGGUGACCAUCCUGUGUCAAUGGCUUUUCUCCAAUUCCUUCCCCUACCACGGUUCUUGUCCAACUCAUGGCUAUUGGCCACCGAGCCUUAUCAUCCCUGCACUCAGUAAUACGAGUCACAUAAUUCAUCCUUAUACAAGGCUUUGAUGACUCCAUAUUUUAACGGCACCUUCCCCAGCGAAGGUGAAUGCAGAGGAGCCAUAAUUAUGCUGCGAGUCUCAGAGCCCAUCGGUGAAUUUGCAGAAACCCUAAGUAAUACGCCAAGAAAAAGGUGUCGGAAUCCUGUAGCUGUGAGUUGCAAUUGGUACUAAUUAUCCUUAUUCUGAAAGCAAAUGAGAAGAUCUCUCCCCACCUCCACCCCCCACCCAGCAGAAGGUCUCUACAUUGUUCUAGAAAAUACUAAAAUGGUCGGGGCCUUCUAAAGGGCAGCUGCAGCCUCACAGCAGGCCCCCAGUGCUGAUUAAUACCAGAGCACCGCAUUACAUUAAAGGAGAAGCUCUGCCUUGGAGCUGAAGGAGUCCUGCCUGGUGCUGUGUGCGGCCCUGGCUGUGGCUCCUCUCCUGCAGUAAGCCAGGCUCAGUUUGUUCCCUUUCAUUCUGAACAGGAUGACUGAGGCAGGCUUCAGAACAAAGCCUGCGGUGGUCGGACACAUGUGCUCAUGUGCACCUUGCUGAGUGUUCUCCCUAGACGGUGAGGGAGAUGGCUUCUGAAUGAAUACGAUGCUAGGCAUCUUCCAUCACCUUAGUUUGGCCUCAUGAAAUGACCAGAAUUGUAACCGGAAGCUGACUCAGUACGUUCUGAAGGCACGGUUCUAUCCACAGACGCCAAACAAGUGGCCAGAAUUACCACUCUACCCUGCUCUUGGCCUCCAGCAAGAAUGUACAACUUUCCCCUGAAGAAGCAUGUAUGUUUGGUCACCACUGACGUAAAUCUGGUCUGCACCUAUAGCUUGAUUCAUUGAGAUCCUUUCCUGUCCAAUUGCAUGAUCACCCCGGACGUAAAAAGACACUUUUUCAUCACCGGACCCCUAAAUAGAUGACCCGCCGAUCACAAGGCUUCAUGUAAAUCUUCUUGAUUGCUUUUUUCCCCCCCUUGCUUAUCACUUUCCCUAAAAACCCUGUCAGUUAGUGUAUUUAAAUUCCUUUCUCAUCUCCUCAUUGAGCCGCUAUUUAAAAU
rnacentral:lncRNA from 1 species